ACCGUGGCUCUAUUAAGAGCCACUUUUGAUAAAAACUAAAAUGAGCU
rfam:Candidatus Lloydbacteria bacterium RIFCSPLOWO2_01_FTLL_50_20 rifcsplowo2_01_scaffold_24268, whole genome shotgun sequence.